rnacentral:rRNA from 1 species
UACGGGGGGUGCAAGCGUUAUUCGGAAUUAUUGGGCGUAAAGCGCGCGUAGGCGGUAUCGUAGGUCAGAUGUGAAAUCCCGGGGCUCAACCCCGGAAGUGCAUUUGAAACCCCGAUACUUGAGUAUGGGAGAGGGAAGUGGAAUUCCAGGUGUAGAGGUGAAAUUCGUAGAUAUCUGGAGGAACACCGGUGGCGAAGGCGACUUCCUGGACCAAUACUGACGCUGAGGUGCGAAGGCGUGGGGAGCGAACGGG